rnacentral:rRNA from 9 species
UAUUCGGUAGCAAUACUGGGUAUUUUUAGUGGCGAAAGGGUGCGUAACACGUGGGUAAUCUACCGUAAAGUUCGGAAUAACUUCGAGAAAUCAAAGCUAAUACCGAAUGUGAUCUGACAGGGACAUCCCUGUUCCAUUAAAGCUAGGGACCUUCGGGCCUGGCGCUUUACGAUGAGCCCGCGCCCUAUCAGCUUGUUGGUGAGGUAAAAGCUCACCAAGGCUAAGACGGGUAGCCGGUCUGAGAGGACGAUCGGCCACACUGGAACUGAGACACGGUCCAGACACCUACGGGUGGCAGCAGUCGAGAAUCAUUCACAAUGGGGGAAACCCUGAUGGUGCGACGCCGCGUGGGGGAUGAAGGUCUUCGGAUUGUAAACCCCUGUCAUUUGUGAACAAACCUUUUGGUUUAAUAGAUCAAAAGCUGAUAGUAGCAAAAGAGGAAGGGACGGCUAACUCCGUGCCAGCAGCCGCGGUAAUACGGAGGUCCCAAGCGUUGUUCGGAUUUACUGGGCGUAAAGGGUGCGUAGGUGGCCAGGAAAGUUUGAUGUGAAAGCUCCGAGCUCAACUCGGAAAAUGCAUUGAAUACUACUUGGCUUGAGGAUCGGAGGGGAGACUGGAAUUCUCGGUGUAGCAGUGAAAUGCGUAGAUAUCGAGAGGAACACCAGUGGCGAAGGCGAGUCUCUGGACGAUUCCUGACACUGAGGCACGAAAGCUAGGGGAGCAAACAGGAUUAGAUACCCUGGUAGUCCUAGCCGUAAACGGUGCACACUUGCUGUAGGAGGAUUCGACCCCUUCUGUGGCGGAGCAAACGCG